GGCCGGAAUGGUCUUCCCGUUCCAUAAACCUUAGUAGCAUUCAUUCUUGUUCCUUCAACACUAGCUAUGAAACUCCUCUUGCAUUACCAACACCAAUCCCCACUAUGAAGAAUCCAAAUCCAAUCGAACUUGUUUUCACCAAACAUGUUGCUUUUUGCGCGCAACAUCGGUAGCAGGGCCUCACUCCGAGUAAGCUCCUUCCAUUCCUCACCCCUUCAAAAUCCUUUUCCCCUUUUCUUCACUCCUUCAUCCCUCUCCUCUCAAAAUUCAAUUUUUGCUCGCCCCAUGAUUUGGUUCGCCAGUUUUCUGUGUGUUAUGAGAUACCCCUUUGUCUCAAAACCUUCUUUUGAUGACAUUGCUUCCGAAUCAAUGCGUAGUUUCUUGCAGCAGGACCGUCCCCACUUGUUUGAUUCAGCAUUGGGUACCCAUUUGGGUGUCUAAGGAUUUGCUUAAUCUGAAAGGGGACCCUAAAUCAGCCCUGAAGUUCUUCAAGGAGGCAGGGGCUCGAGCCGGGUUUCGCCACGCCGCGGAGUCUUAUUGCGUUUUGGCUCACAUUUUGUUUUGUGGAAUGUUUUAUCUUGAUGCCAGGAGUGUCAUUAAAGAGUGGAUUUUGUUGGGGAGGGAGUUUCCAGGUUGUGAUUUCUUUGAUAUGCUGUGGUCUACUAGGAAUGUUUGUAGGCCUGGUUUUGGAGUGUUUGAUACUUUGUUUAGUGUUUUAGUGGAUUUGGGGAUGCUUGAGGAGGCCAAGGCAAUGCUUUUGGAAGAAGAACAAGUUCAUGGUUCUGCCAAAAGUGAGGUCUUGUAAUGAUCUUCUUCACAGGCUUUCAAAAUCAAGCAAAGGGGAAUUGGCAUUAAGCCUUUUCAAGGACAUGGUUGUGGCUGGCCUUUCGCCCUCAGUUUUUACGUAUAAUAUAGUGAUAGGCUGUCUGGCCAGAGAAGGGGGCAUAGAAACUGCCAGGAGUUUAUUUGAAGAAAUGAAAGCUCUGGGUCUUAGGCCAGACAUUGUCACCUAUAAUCCUCUCAUUUAUGGGUAUGGAAAGGUAGGGAUGUUAACUGGAGCAGUCACUGUGUUUGAGGAAAUGAAAGAUGCAGGAUGUGAACCAGAUGUGAUAACAUACAAUUCUCUUAUUAAUUUGAAAGAAUUCCUCAAGCUUUUGAGUAUCUGCAUGAGAUGAAGCAAAGAGGGUUGCAACCAAAUGUUGUAACUUAUAGUACCUAAUUGAUGCAUUUUGCAAGGCAGGCAUGAUACUGGAAGCAAAUAAAUUUUUUGUUGACAUGAUACAUGUUGGUCUUCAACCCAAUGAAUUUACGUAUACAUCUCUAAUUGAUGCAAAUUGUAAAAUAGGUGAUCUCAAUGAAGCAUUUAAACUGGAAAGUGAGAUGCAGCAGGCUGGAGUUAACUUAAAUAUCGUCACCUACACUGCAUUACUGGAUGGUCUUUGUGAAGAUGGAAGAAUGAGAGAGGCAGAAGAAUUAUUUGGGGCAUUGUUAAAAGCUGAAUGGACUCUUAAUCAGCAGAUUUAUACUUCCCUUUUUCAUGGAUAUAUCAAGGCUAAGAUGAUGGAGAAGGCAAUGGAUAUUUUAUAGGAAAUAAACAAGAAAAACUUCAAGCCAGAUCUGUUGCUGUAUGGAACUAAAAUAUGGGAUUUUUGCAGACAAAAUAAAAUAGAAGAUUCUAUGGCUGUAAUUCGGGAGAUGAUGGAUUUUGGUCUGAUUGCAAAUAGUUACAUAUAUACAACCCUUAUGGAUGCAUAUUUUAAGGUUGGAAAAACCACAGAGGCUGUUAAUCUAUUACAAGAGAUGCAAGAUUUGGGUAUCAAGAUAACGGUGGUAACGUACGGUGCACUAAUUGAUGGUUUAUGCAAAAAAGGUUUAGCUCAACAGGCUGUUAGUUACUUUGACCACAUGACUAGAACUGGUUUGCAACCUAAUAUUAUGAUUUAUACUGCUCUGAUUGAUGGCCUUUGUAAAAAUGAUUGUGUUGAAGAAGCCAAGAACCUGUUCAAUGAGAUGCUGGAUAAGGGAAUCAGUCCAGAUAAAUUAAUUUAUACUUCUUUGAUUGAUGGGAACAUGAAGCAUGGAAAUCCUGGAGAAGCUGAGUUUGCGAAAUAGAAUGGUUGAAAUAGGUAUGGAGCUAGACCUGGCAGCUUAUACUUCACUGAUUUGGGGUUUUUCUUGUUAUGGUCAAGUACAACUUGCAAAGUCGUUGCUAGAUGAGAUGCUCAGGAAAGGCAUUAUUCCUAAUCAAGUUCUCUGUAUUCAUCUAUUGAGAAAGUAUUAUAAACUAGGAGACAUCAAUGAAGCUCUGGCGCUUCAUGAUAUGAUGAGGAGGGGCCUAAUUCCAGUGACUAUUGACAUAACAGUUCCUUCUGUACACACUUGAGAGGAAAACAUGUUAUACAUACUUGGUCUACUGUUCCUUAUUUUGGUGGCCUACAAUCUAGAUUGCUUCAUUUUAUACCAAGUUCAAUAGCAUCAUUGAAAUGAAUUUGAUGCAUCAUUCGAUAAUGGCAACUGGCUGUUCCAAUUGAUGCAUUCUCAUUCUCAAGGCACUUGAAUUUUUUAUGAUGUAAAUCCUGCAGCUUCCGGGAUUUGUACAUCAAUAAUCAUGUUCUCAUUUGAUAAUCAAGUCAACCAUAACGUGAUGUUUUCCUGGUUUGAAAGCAACUUGGCUAAUAUUAUAACUAGGAAGCUCAUAAUUAUAGGCUGCUUCUAGAUGACAUGGAUCCAAGAGAGGUCUAGAGUUAGAAAUUUGUGAAUCACUCCAAUGGGUGGACAGAUUCAGGCUUCUCUUGUUCUCUCCCCAAUCUUGUAGCUAACAAAGACAAACAGUCUAAAGAUCAGGUGUAUAUUUAUUUAUUGAUUGAUUUUGGCAUUAAAAAGUUUAGGGGAGAGAAGAGAUUGUGUCAUUUCAAGGUUACUAGAUUCAAGGAUGAUUUACUGUUGUACUGGUAAAAUAACUUAAUAAUAAAAGAUCACCAGUAUUCUCAGGUGUUUUGACCAGCCAUUGUAUCGCAAUGAAUAAACAACUAAAUUGGACAGUGCCAAAACAAUACCACCAUAUUAUUGGUGUAUGGCAAGUAGUAUUUUCACAGCUUUUGUCUA